GAUGAAGAACGUAGCGAAAUGCGAUAAGUAAUGCGAAUUGCAGAAUUUCCGUGAGUCAUCGAAUCUUUGAACGCACAUUGCGCCCUUUGGUAUUCCUUAGGGCAUGCCUGUUCGAGCGUCAUUUAAACCUUCAAGCUAAGCUUGGUGUUGGGUGACUGUCCGCUUCACGGCGGACUCGCCUCAAAAUUAUUGGCGGCCGGUACAUUGGCUUCGAGCGCAGCAGAAACGCGAACUCGGGCCCGUCGUAUUGGCUCCCAGAAGCUAUCUUCACAAUUUUGACCUCGGAUCAGGUAGGGAUACCCGCUGAACUUAAGCAUAUCAAUAAGCGGAGGA
rnacentral:misc_RNA from 1 species